AUUGAACGCUGGCGGCAUGCUUUACACAUGCAAGUCGAACGGUAACAGGUCUUCGGAUGCUGACGAGUGGCGGAACGGGUGAGUAAUGUAUCGGAACGUGCCCAGUAGUGGGGGAUAACUACUCGAAAGAGUGGCUAAUACCGCAUGAGAACUGAGGUUGAAAGCGGGGGGACCUUCGGGCCUCGCGCUACUGGAGCGGCCGAUAUCAGAUUAGGUAGUUGGUGGGGUAAAGGCCUACCAAGCCGACGAUCUGUAGCUGGUCUGAGAGGACGACCAGCCACACUGGGACUGAGACACGGCCCAGACUCCUACGGGAGGCAGCAGUGGGGAAUUUUGGACAAUGGACGCAAGUCUGAUCCAGCAAUGCCGCGUGCAGGACGAAGGCCUUCGGUGUAACUGCUUUGUACAGACGAAAAGGACUCUGGUUAAUACCUUAGGGGC
rnacentral:rRNA from 1 species